CACGGCGACCGAAGCCGUUGGGCAGCCGAGGCCCCGCCCUCGCUGCCGGGUGAGCGGCCCUGGCGGCUCGAGCCCAUGCUGGGGUCGCGGCGUCUGCGGUCCCCCGCGCUGGUGCUGCUGCUGCUGCGGCCGCUGCUCGCUUCCGGAGACUCCGCGUCCCGCCUGCAGACCCGAGCCAUGAACCCGGGCGGCGGUGAGCGGGGCUCCCCGGAGGACAGCCACCGUCUGCAGCGCUCCACGGUGCCGGGCUCCGACCCGCAGCGCAGCAACGAACUGCUCCUGCUGACAUCCCGGGAAGGAGAUUCCCCGGAGCAGCGGCACCACGUCCUCUACUUCCCUGGGGACGUGCAGAUUGAAAACAAGUGUGUUGCUUCUGCUUCCUGCGACUUGUGACCAACUACUUCAUGCCUUCCAGUGGUGGUGGUGGUGGUGGUGGUGGUGAUGGUGGCUGAGUACUUUCUGCUGUAAAAGUGUUCCAGACAGAACAUCCACCUGGCUUAAGUAGGGCCUAAAGUGUUCUAGAUAUAGUUUGAGGAUCAUCUUUCAUUUCCCAUCAUCAGCCUUUGGGACAAUGACAGAAUGGUAAUGUUCAGAGUGUGGGGUUUUAUAGAGCAUGAGGUCUUCUGGAAAAGAAAUGGAAGGCCGUGCAUCCCAAAGCUUCAAUGCCAAGUCACCCAGGUUUCCCAUUCCACUCUGUACUUCUUAGCUAUGAAGUCUAUGCAGAUGUUAAAUCUCUCCAUUGAAGUGCCUCAGAUAUAAAAGUCAGAGGGCCUCAAUCAAGCUGAAAUUUGGGAAUAACUCUAGUUAGGUUCCAGCCCCUUCUCACCUUCAAGUAGCCUCAUGCUCCACUCUUGGGAUUUUUUUACUCUACUCUUUCAGUGAUCUCUUUCCAUCUCGUGACUUUACAUACUGCCUCCAUGCUCACGAGCCUGGCAUUUAUUUAGUCUAGACAUUAGCGGGUGUUUAUGAACUCACCAAUUGCAUGCCUUUACUUCCUUUGGAUAUUUAGUAGCCUUCUAAAACUGAAAAUCUAUUGAAGCAGCCUUCCUUAUCCAGGUUAAUGAAAAUACCUAUUUAACGAUUCGACUUAGAAAUCCAAAGUCAUCUGUAGAUCUCUCAUAUCUCCGGUCUAAUCCAGCAGCAUGCAGUGUCUCCACCUCUCUGUAUGUACAGUGAUGGAACUGUGGUUGACAGCCAAGGUCUCAUUAUUCCACCCUCUUCCAGACCAUCCCAUGGCUUCCUGACCCUCAGCAGUAAGAGCCGGAGUUCUCUCAAGUGCUAGGAGUCCAGGUGCCAUCACAGCUUGCUUUCCUGCAGGGUAACUGUCGAGAAUUACCAUGAGAUUAUGACUCGUCAUCCUGAGAAUUAUCAAUGGGAAAAUUGGAGUCUAGAAAACAUUGCUACCAUUUUAGCCCGCCGUUUUCCCAAUAGUUAUAUUUGGGUAAUAAAGUGUUCCCGAAUGCAUUUGCACAAAUUCAGCUGCUAUGACAAUUUUGUGAAAAGCAACAUGUUUGGUGCACCAGAACAUACUCCGGACUUUGGAGCCUUUAAGCACUUGUAUAUGUUAUUAGUUAAUGCUUUUAACCUGACUCAGAACGGUAUGCUGUUCAAGAACAGGAGUGUUUGGAAUAAGGAUUGUAAAGCAUCUAACUGUGAGUCUAAUCCUUCUACUAGUAAUGGUGGCCAAAAGGAAAACGAGAGGACCUGUGAGCAUGUUGAUGAGCCUUCCAUGAGUUUUCCUCCACUGUCAUUGGAUGGUGCAUCGUUUACUUUGAUUGGAUUCAGUAAAGGCUGUGUUGUUUUGAAUCAGUUGCUGUUUGAGUUGAAGGAAGCCAAGAAAGACAAGAACAUAGAUGCAUUCAUCAAAAGCAUAAGAACAAUGUACUGGCUAGAUGGUGGGCAUUCUGGAGGAAGCAAUACGUGGGUCACAUAUCCAGAAGUCUUGGAAGAAUUUGCUCAAACAGGAAUUACUGUUCACACUCAUGUAACACCUUACCAAGUACAUGAUCCAAUGAGAUCCUGGAUUGGAAAGGAGCACAAGAAAUUUGUUCAGAUACUCAGGGAUUUGGGUAUGCAAGUGACCAGCCAAAUUCAUUUUGCGAAGGAAACUCCUUCCAUAGAGAAUCAUUUCAGGGUUCACGAAGUAUUCUGAGACUAUUAAUGUGCUUGCUUAAUGGGAGAAUAAAAUUUUGAAUGUUAUAAAUGCAGAUGAUGAGAUGCAAGAUUAAUGAUGCUUCAUCAGUUUGUGGGCUAAGAAGAUGCACAUUCCAAAAAUAUGAGUGUCAAAUACAGUAGGAUUGUUUUGCUUGUUAAGUGUGAUCAGUUUCAAAUUCUGAUCAGGUUAGAAUUAGCUUGAAAUCUAAAAGGGUUGUUUGUGCUAAUUCUAUGACCAUUAAAAUGAAGGCAACCAUGUUAGUUUUUUAAAAGGUAACAAAAUUGGUGUUGGAAAUAAUUGACUUUGCUGAGACCUAUUUUAAUCUAACUUUGGUGAUAAUGGCAUUCAGCUGUUGACUAGAGACACUGCACUUCUCUCUGUCCAACACACUCUGGGGACAACUACACCCUGCAUCCAGACUCCCGGGGUUGCUGAACCCCUAGACUCAUUCUCAGUGGUCCACCAAGUGUUUUGUUUUGUUUUUUAAAGUCAAAAUAUAUUUAUCCCCCUGUAUUCAAGAUUAUAGAAUAGUAUAGUUGGUUUUUAAAACAUUACACUGAGCACUGUAAGUUAAUUCUUAAUUGUCAGUUUUUAAUUAUUUGUUAGUGUGCUCUCAAAACGAGACAGAUUUCACAGACCUAAAUCAGCAUUUCUUCAGAAGCAUGGUUUUGUCUGCCAAGAGAAAAUAGCUUUCUUUGGCCAAAUGUAAAAUUAAAUUGAUGAGAUAAGAAAGGUUACAAAGGAAGGUUUGGAGACACAAAUAAUUUAAAUUUUGGCCCAGAAACUGAAUUUGCUUAACACUGCUACAUAAUUUGGGCACAUUUUUCUUUACUAGCAAAAUGCAUUUUGAGAAACCUAGAUCUAACGAAUUUCAAACAACAUUGGAACAUAGCUGUGUAGUUUUAAAUAGUGGUCAGGCACUUUUUUAUUUAUAAAUAAUGCUGUGCAGGUCAUGAAAUAACUAACAGGGAACUAAACCCUGCUGCUUUGGGCAAGGAACUGUACUAAAGAAUGGCACCUCCCAGGCCCAACAAGCUAGUCUAUUUAUCAAACAAUAUGAAAGUGUUAAGUCUGGUUUCUUCCAAAGUUACAUCUUAAUCAACCUAUAAGUAUAUUCCAAAUACUCACUCAUGGUAAAGGAUUCCUUCACACGUGUUGUUUUAAAAUGAGCAUGAUUCUAUCAACUUACAGUUGAGUAUCUGUACAUUUUCCCAAGUAGUUUUAUAUUGUCCCACUUUCUUUGAAUAUCCAUUCUUUUGAGAUUCAUUUAUUUGAGAUCAACACUUCCCAUUGUAAAAACAACUUACCUGGUUUCUAACUUACUAUGUACUUCCUUAACGUUAAGCACUGUGAUUGGAUGGCUAUCUUUAAUUUGUUUAAUAAUCCUCAAAUGUGUCAUUUAAUGUAAAACUGCACUACUGAAUGGUCAUACAGAAGGGCAAGGCUUUAGUUUUCACAGGAUUAACUGAAGUAGACAGAGAAGGGUUUUCCUUUAAGAACUCAUUGAGUUCUUCACCUCUCCCUCUGACUGUUCAAUUGUUACAUGUUAAAGUGGAUGUUGAUCAGAUGGACACUAAACCAUCAUCACCUCUGCAGACAGUGUUAAGUACCACAGAUGCUAAGGAGUGGAAAUGAUCGAGUUGACCCUCACACAGGUAUUUCUGUUUAGUACUUCAGAGUGGUCCUUUCUUUCAUCUGUUUAAAAUUGUAUAUGCUAAAUUUUUUAUGGUAAACAUGCAUUCUACUUGAUCGUGCCUUUGUAAAGAGUCACUGAGAGAAGUGGUCCUACAAAUGUGAGCAUUGUUACCACUACAGCAUGAAUGUAUAAUUAUAUUAAAGAUAAUAAUCCACAGAAAUGUUA